rnacentral:tRNA from 1 species
ACGCGACGUAGUCGGCGGCCGUGUUGGUGCCCGGCUCGUAACCGGGGUAGCGGUCGGUGACCACGGUCGGGAUCUUCGCCUGGGUGGUGGC